rnacentral:misc_RNA from 1 species
GAUGAAGAACGCAGCGAAAUGCGAUAAAUAAUGUGAAUUGCAGAAUUCAGUGAAUCAUCGAGUCUUUGAACGCACAUUGCGCCCCUUGGUAUUCCAUGGGGCAUGCCUGUUCGAGCGUCAUUUGUACCUUCAAGCUUUGCUUGGUGUUGGGUGUUUGUCUCGCCUUUGCGUGUAGACUCGCCUUAAAAUAAUUGGCAGCCGGCGUAUUGAUUUCGGAGCGCAGUACAUCUCGCGCUUUGCACUCAUAACGACAGCGUCCAAAAGUACAUUUUACACUCUUGACCUCGGAUCAGGUAGGGAUACCCGCUGAACUUAAGCAUAUCAAUAAGCGGAGGA